CAGUAGCCGCGGUAACACGGAGGGGGCUAGCGUUGUUCGGAAUUACUGGGCGUAAAGCGCACGUAGGCGGCUUUGUAAGUCAGAGGUGAAAGCCCGGGGCUCAACCCCGGAAUUGCCUUUGAGACUGCAUCGCUUGAAUCCAGGAGAGGUAAGUGGAAUUCCGAGUGUAGAGGUGAAAUUCGUAGAUAUUCGGAAGAACACCAGUGGCGAAGGCGGCUCACUGGACUGGUAUUGACGCUGAGGUGCGAAAGCGUGGGGAGCAAACAGGAUUAGAUACCCGAGUAGUCCCUGUCUCUUAUAC
rnacentral:rRNA from 1 species